ACUCAACACAUACAUGGACGCACUUAUACACGCACUCACCACAUACAUGGACGCACUUAUACAGGCACUCACUACAUAAAUGGACGCACUCAUACAGGCACUCACCACAUACAUGGGCGCACUCAUACAGGCACUCACCACAUACAUGGACGCACUCAUACAGGCACUCACCACAUACAUGGACGCACUCAAAUACGCACUCACCACAU